rnacentral:misc_RNA from 1 species
CUUGCGUGCCUAAAACGUUAUCCGCAGUCCAGGUCCUCCCGAGUUGGAUCCUAAUGCAAGGACGACACCAAUAGACAUCCAUCAAAAAUAUUAAUGGGCAAAUUCCGUAACGUGUCUCGACUCUGGGUCAUCAUCUUCGUUUUUCGUUUUGGUGGUGUGUGGUACAGGUGGUUGUGGUUGUCGUCGUCGUUAUCGAUUAAACAACCCCAAAAUUCAGCUCAUAUCGAAUCUAUUGCAGUAGGAGAAGGUAUUGUUGUAUAAUCUCAAUUCACGAGUUUUCAAUCAUUGGAUUCUCUUAAAAUUUAACUUCGAUCUUAAGCUUCCUAAUAAUAGAUGAGAUAACCCGGAAGAAAGGUAAUUAUUUAAUUUUGAAAAACCCUAAUUAGAGGCGAAUUAAUGUUAUUCAUGCUUUGUACUUGUGCAGUUUUGAGAAUUAAAAGCUGCUUUUGUUUGUGAUUGGGAAUCGAUUAGCUUGGUUUCUUUCUAUUCUCUCUGUAUAUUCUUUGUAUUAGUUGGCAAUUAAUCUCAUGGUUAUGAACCUUUUGAAUAGUAGGGGUAACGGUUCUUAUCUAAUUUGGAUUCUUUGUUUUCUGAUCGUAAUAUGCUUAUUGGAGUCUUCAUAAUAAAAUCGGUUUCGUUGCCUUCUUUAAUCUAUCAUUAUAUUUUCUGCUGCUAAAUAGUUUAAUUUCCUGUCGAUUUAUUAUUUGGUUUUUCCUUUCAAGUCCCUUAAAGGUAAGCUUUGGUGACUGCAGUGCAGCUCUUGUUAUUUUGAACUAUUAGGAAAAUAUGGUGUAACUUAUGGCAACUUUUGAAGGAAAAGUUACAUUCACUUCUCUUUCUAAGCAAGAAAAGGAGAAAAAUAUAUACCCUCAUGUUGAUGACUUCAGUAAUUCUGUAUGGCCUGCUACGAAAGGUGUGUCUGCUCUCCAAUUAGGCUCAAAGUCUGUGAAAGAAGAUUUUUUGAUCCAGUUACCAUUCGAGUCUGAAGACUUCCUUGAUGGGGGAUAUGAUUCAAGUGAGGAUUCUUGCAAUACAAUGCAAAUUACUAGACCUCCAGAGGUCAACUUGAAAAAUGUUUUAAGUGGGAUAGUUGCAAUUUUGACUGGGCGGAACAAAGGCCCAAGUGUUUCCAUGCAUCAACAACUUCCAAGUUCAAAUGUUUCCUUUCUUGGGCCUGAAAAUAAUGGGGACACAUAUUUGCAUUCCUCGGUUUACAUACCAAGUGCCCCUUCACUUUUGGAACCAAGUGGGAUUAACUAUAGUGCGUAUAAAGAGGUGUUAGAAGCUGAACCCCCAGAGUGGCUGCCAGAUAGUUCUACUACAGUUUGCCUGCAGUGCACUGCGCCCUUCACAGUGCUUACCCGUGGAAGGCAUCAUUGUCGAUUUUGUGGUGGAAUUUUUUGCAGAGCAUGCACAGAAGGAAGGUGCUUGUUACCUGUUAAGUUUAGGGAGAGGAAUCCACAGAGGGUUUGUGAUGCCUGCUAUGAUAGGCUUGAUCCCAUACAAGGAAUUCUCAUCGAUACCAUUAGCAAUGCUGUGCAAGCAGCAAAGCAUGAUGUGAUGGAUUGGACAUGCACAAGAGGAUGGUUGAACCCUCCUGUUGGUUUGUCGAUGGAGCAUGAGAUAUACAAAGCAUCAAAUACAUUGAGAAGCUACUGCCAGGUGUGAUUCUGUUUUCAUCAAGGUUCUCUUUAUAUUUAAUGGAGUGAUCUACUUCUGUCACAAGUUCAGUGUCGUGGAGAAAUUAUGAGUUACACCUAGAGCAAUGCUCCCUCACUUACAUAAAUGUUGCUAGAUUGAAUGCUGAAAGGUCCAUACCUCUAGCAGUUCUGAAAGCAGCCAGAGGCUUGGCAAUCUUAACUGUUGCCAAAGCUGGUGUAUUCAUUGCUUACAAACUUGGCACCGGUUUGGUCAUUGCUCGAAGGUCAGAUGGAUCGUGGUCUGCCCCAUCUGCCAUAUGCUCAGUUGGUUUAGGAUGGGGUGCUCAGAUUGGGGGUGAGCUCAUGGACUUCAUAGUUGUCCUCCAUGAUAUGAAAGCUGUGAAGACAUUUUGCAGUCGCAUGCAUUUUUCACUUGGUGCUGGUUGCAGUGUUGCAGCAGGCCCAAUUGGGAGAGUCCUGGAAGCAGAUCUUCGGGCUGGGGAUAGAGGUUCAGGCAUGUGCUACACUUACAGUCAUAGCAAAGGGGCAUUUGUUGGAGUAUCACUUGAAGGGAAUGUAGUUGCAACGAGGAUGGAUACCAAUCUAAAAUUCUAUGGUGAUCCUUAUCUCACUACAAAUGACAUUUUGCUUGGUACUGUGGACAGACCAAAAGCUGCACAGCCCUUGUAUGCUGACCUUGAUGACCUAUACUCCAGUCUGAGGUGUUAGUUGCCAGGCUUUAUGAUUGUGGCAUGUCUCUGUUGGAUGGUAAGUCUCUAUCCAAUCUAACGUUUCUCUGUGCAUGUGCCAUGUCUCUGUCAGCUGUUGAGAUGUGCACUUGCUCCUGAACUUGAUUCUCCCUCUCUGAAUUGUAUAGUGGCUCUAAAUUUAUUGGGUGUAUGCCCACACAAAGGGACGACAGUUUCACGUUCGUUUAUUAUGAGCUCUCAUUCAAUUUGGUUAAUGUGCUUUUGCAAAUGUCACGAUGUAAAUAGAUAAUUGUAUAAUACCCAAUUAUUGGGAUUUGAAAAUAUAUAGAUUAUUUGGAUGAUGAUCAACUUGACUUUUGUAUUCUUGGUACAAAACAAAUAUUGGACUACUGUUGGUGCCAUUUGGGUAAUCUUGCCGUGGGUUACAGGGUCACUGUGACUUGUUUAGCCCAAUUAGUCUUUGCUUUCUGGCAACAACAUAUUUUGACUUUGAUCAAUAUGUGUGUCGGUAGGGACAGUGACG